GAGGGUGUGGCUUGGUGGUAGAGUGCUUAACUAGCAUGUAGACGGCCCUGGGUUUGAACUCCAGCAUGCUCA
rnacentral:tRNA from 1 species